rnacentral:rRNA from 1 species
CCUACGGGAGGCAGCAGUGGGGAAUAUUGCUCAAUGGGCGAAAGCCUGACGCAGCGACGCCGCGUGAGGGAUGAAGGUCUUCGGAUCGUAAACCUCUUUCAGCAGGGAAGAACGGUCACUGUGCUAAUCAGCAGUGAAUUGACGGUACCUGCAAAGGAAGCACCGGCUAACUCCGUGCCAGCAGCCGCGGUAAUACGGAGGGGGCGAGCGUUAAUCGGAAUUACUGGGCGUAAAGCGCUCGUAGGCGGUAUGUCAAGUCAAGGGUGAAAUCCCCGCGCUCAACGUGGGAACUGCCUUUGAUACUGGCAAACUUGAGUGUGUGAGAGGAUAGUGGAAUUCCAGGUGUAGGGGUGAAAUGCGUAGAUAUCUGGAAGAACAUCAGUGGCGAAGGCGACUAUCUGGCACAUCACUGACGCUGAGGAGCGUAAGCGUGGGUAGCAAACAGGAUUAGAUACCCCAGUAGUC